rnacentral:sRNA from 1 species
ACUUGUACUUAUGUACAUUGUUAAUGAAGAAGUGAGCAGGCUGAGGAGGGGGCAAAAGCUUCUUGCUUUUAUAGCUCGUGUGAUUGGUUCUAUUUUGAAAGUUCUUUUAUGGCAACAGGUACAGUUAAGUGGUUCAAUGAUUCCAAAGGCUUUGGCUUCAUCACUCCAGAUGACGGCGGCGAGGAUCUGUUCGCGCACUUCUCCGCAAUCAACAUGAACGGUUUCAAGACCCUCAAAGAAGGUCAAAAAGUUCAAUUCGAAGUCACGCAAGGCCCUAAAGGCAAGCAAGCUUCCAACAUCCAGGCUGCUUAAGCUACCCGAAUGUGAAAAACCCCGCUGCAAAGCGGGGUUUUUUUA